GACGAACGCUGGCGGCGUGCUUAACACAUGCAAGUCGAACGGAAAGGCCCUGCUUUUGUGGGGUGCUCGAGUGGCGAACGGGUGAGUAACACGUGAGUAACCUGCCCUUGACUUUGGGAUAACUUCAGGAAACUGGGGCUAAUACCGGAUAGGAGCUCCUGCUGCAUGGUGGGGGUUGGAAAGUUUCGGCGGUUGGGGAUGGACUCGCGGCUUAUCAGCUUGUUGGUGGGGUAGUGGCUUACCAAGGCUUUGACGGGUAGCCGGCCUGAGAGGGUGACCGGCCACAUUGGGACUGAGAUACGGCCCAGACUCCUACGGGAGGCGGCAGUGGGGAAUAUUGCACAAUGGGCGGAAGCCUGAUGCAGCAACGCCGCGUGCGGGAUGACGGCCUUCGGGUUGUAAACCGCUUUCGCCUGUGACGAAGCGCGAGUGACGGUAAUGGGUAAAGAAGCACCGGCUAACUACGUG
rnacentral:rRNA from 1 species